UACGUAUGGUGCAAGCGUUAUCCGGAUUUACUGGGUGUAAAGGGAGCGUAGGCGGCGCGUUAAGUCUGAUGUGAAAACCCGAGGCUCAACCACGGGAGUGCAUCGGAAACUGGCGUGCUGGAGUGCCGGAGAGGUAAGCGGAAUUCCUAGUGUAGCGGUGAAAUGCGUAGAUAUUAGGAGGAACACCAGUGGUGAAGGCGGCUUACUGGACGGCAACUGACGCUGAGGCUCGAAAGCGUGGGGAGCAAACAGG
rnacentral:rRNA from 1 species